GAGGACGAGCUUGCGGAGAGCACACAGGACACAGUUCUCCCCAACAGCCAGGAUCUUUUCCUCAGCCUGACUGAAAUAACCUCCCAAGGCGGUAUCCUGGACCAUGAAGCUGGAGAAGGGACCUCUAAUGAAAAUUUUUCAAGACU